rnacentral:rRNA from 1 species
GACGAACGCUGGCGGCGUGCCUAAUACAUGCAAGUAGAACGCUGAAGGAGGAGCUUACUUCUCUGGAUGAGUUGCGAACGGGUGAGUAACGCGUAGGUAACCUGCCUGGUAGCGGGGGAUAACUAUUGGAAACGAUAGCUAAUACCGCAUAAGAGUAGAUGUUGCAUGACAUUUACUUAAAAGGUGCAAUUGCACCACUACCAGAUGGACCUGCGUUGUAUUAGCUAGUUGGUGGGGUAACGGCUUACCAAGGCGACGAUACAUAGCCGACCUGAGAGGGUGAUCGGCCACACUGGGACUGAGACACGGCCCAGACUCCGACGGGAGGCAGCAGUAGGGAAUCUUCGGCAAUGGACGGAAGUCUGACCGAGCAACGCCGCGUGAGUGAAGAAGGUUUUCGGAUCGUAAAGCUCUGUUGUAGGAGAAGAACGAGUGUGAGAGUGGAAAGUUCACACUGUGGCGGUAUCUUACCAGAAAGGGACGGCUAACUACGUGCCAGCCGCCGCAGUAA